rnacentral:rRNA from 1 species
UACGAAGGGUGCAAGCGUUAAUCGGAAUUACUGGGCGUAAAGGGUGCGUAGGCGGUUGUUUAAGUCUGUCGUGAAAUCCCCGGGCUCAACCUGGGAAUGGCGAUGGAAACUGGGCAGCUAGAGUGUGUCAGAGGAUGGUGGAAUUCCCGGUGUAGAGGUGAAAUUCGUAGAUAUCGGGAGGAACACCAGUGGCGAAGGCGGCCACCUGGACGAACACUGACGCUGAGACUCGAAAGCGUGGGGAGCAAACAGG